rnacentral:rRNA from 1 species
GAUGAACGCUGGCGGCGUGCCUAAUACAUGCAAGUCGAACGAGGUGCUUUUGUAGCAAUACGAGAGUAUCCUAGUGGCGAACGGGUGAGUAACGCGUUGGUGACCUGCCCCAAAGUGCGGGACAACAGUCCGAAAGGAUCGCUAAUACCGCAUGUGGUUAUCGGGUUUAGAAACCGAUAACUAAAGAAGCAAUUCGCUUUGGGAGGGACCUGCGUCCCAUCAGCUAGUUGGUGAGGUAACGGCUCACCAAGGCGACGACGGGUAGGGGACCUGAGAGGGUGACCCCCCACAAUGGAACUGAAACACGGUCCAUACACCUACGGGUGGCAGCAGUAGGGAAUAUUGCACAAUAGGCGAAAGCCUGAUGCAGCAACGCCGCGUGUGCGAUGAAGGCCUUCGGGUCGUAAAGCACUUUUCUGCGAGAUGAGAAAGGACAGUAUCGUAGGAAUAAGUCUCGGCUAACUACGUGCCAGCCGCCGCUGUAAUAC